UGCAGCAACGCCGCGUGAGGGAUGACGGCCUCUCGGGUUGUAAACCUCUUUUAGUAGGGAAGAAGGGAGCUAUGCUCUUGACGGUACCUGCAGAAAAAGCACCGGCUAACUACGUGCCAGCAGCCGCGGUAAUACGUAGGGUGCAAGCGUUGUCCGGAAUUAUUGGGCGUAAAGAGCUCGUAGGCGGUUUGUCGCGUCUGCUGUGAAAUCCCGAGGCUCAACCUCGGGCUUGCAGUGGGUACGGGCAGACUAGAGUGCGGUAGGGGAGAUUGGAAUUCCUGGUGUAGCGGUGGAAUGCGCAGAUAUCAGGAGGAACACCGAUGGCGAAGGCAGAUCUCUGGGCCGUAACUGACGCUGAGGAGCGAAAGCGUGGGGAGCGAACAGGAUUAGAUACCCUGGUAGUCCACGCCGUAAACGUUGGGCGCUAGAUGUAGGGACCUUUCCACGGUUUCUGUGUCGUAGCUAACGCAUUAAGCGCCCCGCCUGGGGAGUACGGCCGCAAGGCUAAAACUCAAAGGAAUUGACGGGGGCCCGCACAAGCGGCGGAGCAUGCGGAUUAAUUCGAUGCAACGCGAAGAACCUUACCAAGGCUUGACAUACACCGGAAACGGCCAGAGAUGGUCGCC
rnacentral:rRNA from 1 species